rnacentral:rRNA from 1 species
UACGUAGGGUGCGAGCGUUGUCCGGAAUUACUGGGCGUAAAGAGCUCGUAGGUGGUUUGUCGCGUUGUUCGUGAAAACCUGAGGCUUAACCUUGGGCGUGCGGGCGAUACGGGCAGACUGGAGUACUGCAGGGGAGACUGGAAUUCCUGGUGUAGCGGUGGAAUGCGCAGAUAUCAGGAGGAACACCGGUGGCGAAGGCGGGUCUCUGGGCAGUAACUGACGCUGAGAAGCGAAAGCGUGGGGAGCGAACAGG